AGUAUAGUGCCUGAUUAAAAAGGAUAGUUCCGAUAAGACUACUCAUGUAGAUAUUAUCUACCUAUGCUG
rnacentral:tRNA from 1 species